CUACUACUCCCUCCGUCCAACAAAAGAUGUCUCAAGUUUGUCAAAAAUUGGAUGUAUCUAGACAUGACUUAGUGUAUAGAUGCAUUCAAAUUUAAUCAAAGUUGAGACAUCUUUUGUUGGACGGAGGAAGUAGUAG
rnacentral:pre_miRNA from 1 species